AGUAGGGCGGGACACGUGGUAUCCUGUCUGAAUAUGGGGGGACCAUCCUCCAAGGCUAAAUACUCCUGACUGACCGAUAGUGAACCAGUACCGUGAGGGAAAGGCGAAAAGAACCCCGGCGAGGGGAGUGAAAAAGAACCUGAAACCGUGUACGUACAAGCAGUGGGAGCACCCUUCGGGGUGUGACUGCGUACCUUUUGUAUAAUGGGUCAGCGACUUAUAUUCUGUAGCAAGGUUAACCGAAUAGGGGAGCCGGAGGGAAACCGAGUCUUAACCGGGCGUUAAGUUGCAGGGUAUAGACCCGAAACCCGGUGAUCUAGCCAUGGGCAGGUUGAAGGUUGGGUAACACUAACUGGAGGACCGAACCGACUAAUGUUGAAAAAUUAGCGGAUGACCUGUGGCUGGGGGUGAAAGGCCAAUCAAACCGGGAGAUAGCUGGUUCUCCCCGAAAGCUAUUUAGGUAGCGCCUCGUGAAUUCAUCUCCGGGGGUAGAGCACUGUUUCGGCUAGGGGGCCAUCCCGGCUUACCAACCCGAUGCAAACUGCGAAUACCGGAGAAUGUUAUCACGGGAGACACACGGCGGGUGCUAACGUCCGUCGUGAAGAGGGAAACAACCCAGACCGCCAGCUAAGGUCCCAAAGUCAUGGUUAAGUGGGAAACGAUGUGGGAAGGCCCAGACAGCCAGGAUGUUGGCUUAGAAGCAGCCAUCAUUUAAAGAAAGCGU
rnacentral:rRNA from 1 species